UGAGAAAGCAAGGUGAAGUAAAUCAGAAAA
rnacentral:piRNA from 1 species